GUCCGGGUGGCGGAACUGGUAGACGCGCACGUUUGAGGGGCGUGUGGCUUAGCCAUGAGGGUUCAAGUCCCUCCCCGGACA
rnacentral:tRNA from 1 species